rnacentral:tRNA from 1 species
GGAGGGGUGGCCGAGUGGACUAUGGCGGCGGUCUUGAAAACCGCUUUCGCGAAAGCGAACGUGGGUUCGAAUCCCACCCCCUCCGCCA